rnacentral:rRNA from 1 species
GAAUCAUUCACAAUGGGGGAAACCCUGAUGAUGCAACGCCGCGUGAGGGAUGAAGGCCUUCGGGUCGUAAACCUCUGUCACCAAGGAGCAAAAAGCAUGUUCAUAGCCUGCCCUGAGUUAACUUGGAGAGGAAGCAGUGGCUAACUCCGUGCCAGCCGCCGCGGUAAUACGGAGACUGCAAGCGUUACCCGGAUUCACUGGGCGUAAAGGGUGCGUAGGCCGCUAAGCGUGUCAGGUGUGAAAUCUCGGGGCUUAACCUCGAAACUGCGCCUGAAACUGUUUAGCUUGAGUAUUGGAGAGGUAAGCGGAAUUUCUGGUGUAGCGGUGAAAUGCGUAGAUAUCAGAAGGAACACCAAUGGCGAAGGCAGCUUACUGGACAAUAACUGACGCUGAGGCACGAAAGCGUGGGUAGCGAAAGGG